rnacentral:rRNA from 1 species
UACGUAGGGGGCAAGCGUUGUCCGGAUUUAUUGGGCGUAAAGAGCGUGUAGGCGGUCAGGUAGGUCCGUUGUGAAAACUCGAGGCUCAACCUCGAGACGCCGAUGGAAACCAUCUGACUAGAGUCCGGAAGAGGAGAGUGGAAUUCCUGGUGUAGCGGUGAAAUGCGCAGAUAUCAGGAAGAACACCCGUGGCUAAGGCGGCUCCUCUAGUA